UAAGGAAUAUUGGUCAAUGGGCGCAAGCCUGAACCAGCCAUGCCGCGUGCAGGAAGACGGCCCUAUGGGUUGUAAACUGCUUUUGUCAGGGAAUAAACCUGUUUACGAGUAGACAGCUGAAGGUACCUGAAGAAUGAGCAUCGGCUAACUCCGUGCCAGCAGCCGCGGUAAUACGGAGGAUGCAAGCGUUAUCCGGAUUCAUUGGGUUUAAAGGGUGUGCAGGCGGAUUGGUAAGUCAGGGGUGAAAUCCCAAAGCUCAACUGUGGAACUGCCCUUGAUACUGUCAGUCUAGAGUAUAGUUGAAGUUGGCGGAAUGUGUCAUGUAGCGGUGAAAUGCUUAGAUAUGACACAGAACACCGAUCGCGAAGGCAGCUAGCUAAGCUAUAACUGACGCUCAGGCACGAAAGCGUGGGGAUCAAACA
rnacentral:rRNA from 1 species